UUAUGUCUGCACCCCGCUGGAGUCAUUUGGCUGUUUUGAAGCAGCCACACAUUUUGACAGCAGUGUACCCACACUGUCCCCAGUACUCACAUGGCCUUUUGUUGUGAGUGUCUGAGUGCCCGCUGGCCACAUUGGUCAUUUUUUUUUUUUCUUUUGACAACUCUCUUGAGCGUGUGGUAGGCGGGUUCUGUUUUUCCAGCUCUGCCUGUGUCCUCACAUGAACCCACUACUGUGCCAAGACUCCAGAGCAGCUUUACAGGAGGUAACAGGGUUACGAGCCGACGGGAACAAAGACUCUGCCAUUGUUUGCUGUUUGUGAUGCAGGGUUGCCAGGCUUACGCUAGGCAGGACAACCAAGAGGGUGUGAGACCUGACGUCAUUACCAUAACCAUAAAAAGCUAUGAGAAGACGACCCAAUGAGGGCAACUGACUCUGCUCCUUCUGGUCAAGAGCCCUAGUUGGACUGAGUUCUGCUAAAGAAUUCCUCAAUGAGUUGGUCGUGCUGCUCUCCUCCAGCCCAAGUGACGGCAACCCACUUCUGAUCCAUGGAAAUCCAUAACACACCUAGACACUUCACCUGCUACAGAUUUCAUCACUUUUUUUUCCACUUUCAAGAAGUGAUAGCUUCACACCCUAACAACUCACACAGCUGGGCUGCAAACAAAAGACCCUCUUGCACAUGGCUCUCCAAAGCUUUACACAGUCUACACACCAAUCUAGUUGGGACACCUGAAGGGAAAUGCUAAUCUAGAUAAGUAUGAAUCUCUUUUAUCCUCCUUCCCUUCUGCCACUAUCAAUGCUGUUUCUUCCAGAACGGGAUUAUCACAAUAACUGAUACUCAUAGCUUGUUCUUUGCUUUAUCCUCUCUUCUCAACCCUCUAUCACUUCCACCUCCAACCUCCUUGACUGCUGAUGAUUUUAUGAACAAUUUUCACAAAACGCCGGCUACCAUCAGUGGUCAGUUCUCAUCAACCCUGCUAAUUUUUCUGUUCCCUCCUAAGAAAGCACAAACCGUCUCCACUUUCUCCUCACUCUCAACCCUUGAUGUUUCCAACCUUGUCUCUAGUUGCUAAAUUACUUGUCCAUUUGACCCUAUCCCAUCACAUCCCCCACAAGCUAUCUAACCCUCAUUCUUUUCUGUAUCAUCAACACCUCAUUCCACACAGGCACUUUUCCCACUAUGUUGAAACAGGCUAAAAUAACGCCACUUCUCAAAAGGCCCACUCUUGACCCAUCUCAAACCAGUCUCUUUUCUCACCAUUUUAUCCAGAACUUAAGAACAUGCUGCCUUUUACCUUGUCUGUUCUUUCUUCCUGCAUUAUACAUUGAUGGAUCCUAACCAGCCCAAUUUCAAGAAGGGCCAUUCCACUGAGGUGUCCGUGUUGACUGCUCUUGACAUGCUACACCUAAAUGGAGCUACUUGCAGUGUCAUCUUUCCUCACCCCCACCUUGAGUUUUCUACUGUUUUGGGCACAGUUGAAUAUCAGAACUUCGUUGGCACACGCUCCAACCUUGGCAUCACUGGGUCUAAUCUCAAGUAGUUUGAAUCCUAGCUCUCAAGCAGAUUCUACCAUGUGUCCUGAGGAGAAUACAUGUUAAACUUGCAUCAGGUGCUCCAAGGGUCAGUUCUGGGUCCUCUCCUCUUUUCUUUGUACACAACCUCACUAGGCUCUGUCAUCCACUCCUAUGGAUUCUCAUGUCAGUGCUAUCCCAAUAGUACACAGCUGUGCCUGUUGUUCUCUCCAGAGGGCCAAAGAGUCUAAACUAGAAUCUCUAUAUGUGUCACUGACUCUCAACUGAGAUGAAGGAAUACCAUCUGUAGCUCAGCUUGGCAAUGAUGAUACUGCCUGUUAUCCCAGCCAGUCUAUUCAAUAUACUGUUUCUUUAAAGGACAGUUCAUUAACACUAACACCUGCCAAGUCAGUACACAACCUUGGUGUGAUGGUCAUUGACCACCUAUCCUUUAAUGACCAUAUUUCAACAGUUUUUUAGAUUCACGCUGUGUAGCAUCCACAGAUCAGGCAGUAUCUGACAGAGUAUGAAGCAUAACCUCCAGUCUGGGCAUUGGUCUUGUCACUUCUGGACUCUUUACCAGUAGGGGUACCUGCAUGCCUUUCCAAAUGACUGCAGAUAAUUCAAAAUGUAGACAUGUCUUGUGUUCAACCAACUGAUAUGAGCUCAUGUUAUUCUUCAUUUCUGGUCACUACACUGGCUUCCUGAAGCAGCACACAUUUUCAGAUUCUUCAUGCUUGUCUACAGAGUAGUUAUUUGGUCACCACCAAUGUACAGUAUAUGGAGGCAUUCAUGGGGCCCUGUGCUUCUUCUCAUCCACUCAGAUCUGCUAAUGAACGGCGUUUGAUGAUACCACCUCGCGUGGCAUCAAAUCUCAACCCAGCAUCUUUACAUGGUGGAAUGAGCUGCCUACCUCCAUCCGAAAUGCUGACUCCCUCACUGUGUUUAAGAAGAUUCUGAAGACUCUCUAGUCCUGCGAAUAUCUGUCUAAUUGAUAGUGGCUUUGAUGCAAGUUCAUAGUAGCUAAGCAUAAAUUAACUAGUCAUGUGUAGUUCUGUUUGGUUUAGCGUUCUUUACUCAUGAUGAUCAAGUCUGUAUCAUUGACUUGUAACACUUGAUUUUGUAAAAUAAAAAGGCUACUAAAGGCUAUGUCACAUAAGGUGACUUUCCCAGCAAUUUUCAGUUGUAGCCUUCAUUUUGUCACGGGCGGCUGGGGGUGGAGCCCGAAAGGA